AGGAUUAACGCUGGCGGCGUGCAUGAAACAUGCAAGUCGAGCGCGGUGUGAUGCGGGGUAACCCAAUUCACAUCUAGCGGCGAACGGGUGAGUAACACGUGAGCAACCUACCUUUGAGUUGGGGAUAGCCCUGGGAAACCAGGAUUAAUACCCGAUGUGGUCACAACAGGACAUCCUGAUGUGAGUAAAGGCGCAAGCCGCUCAAUGACGGGCUCGCGGCCUAUUAGCUUGUUGGUGGGGUAACGGCCUACCAAGGCGAUGAUGGGUAGCUGGUCUGAGAGGACGAUCAGCCACACUGGGACUGAGACACGGCCCCAGACUCCUACGGGAGGCAGCAGUUAGGAAUUUUCCGCAAUGGGCGAAAGCCUGACGGAGCAACGCCGCGUGAGUGAUGAAGACCUUAGGGUUGUAAAGCUCUGUCGGAGGGGAAGAACACAAUGACGGUACCCUCCAAGAAACGCCCCGGCUAACUACGUGCCAGCAGCCGCGGUAA
rnacentral:rRNA from 1 species